ACGAACGCUGGCGGCGCGCCUAACACAUGCAAGUCGAACGAGAGAGAGGAAGCUUGCUUCCUCAAUCGAGUGGCGAACGGGUGAGUAACGCGUGAGGAACCUGCCUCAAAGAGGGGGACAACAGUUGGAAACGACUGCUAAUACCGCAUAAGCCCACAGCUCGGCAUCGAGCAGAGGGAAAAGGAGCAAUCCGCUUUGAGAUGGCCUCGCGUCCGAUUAGCUAGUUGGUGAGGUAACGGCCCACCAAGGCGACGAUCGGUAGCCGGACUGAGAGGUUGAACGGCCACAUUGGGACUGAGACACGGCCCAGACUCCUACGGGAGGCAGCAGUGGGGAAUAUUGCACAAUGGGGGAAACCCUGAUGCAGCGACGCCGCGUGGAGGAAGAAGGUCUUCGGAUUGUAAACUCCUGUUGUUGAGGAAGAUAAUGACGGUACUCAACAAGGAAGUGACGGCUAACUACGUG
rnacentral:rRNA from 1 species